GAGAGUAUAGAGAGGUAACCAAGUAGGAGUUUUCCAUAACUCCGGCGAAAUUCUUGAUGGCUUUCAACGGAUCCUUUCUCGAUAUAUUCAUUGUCAUUCUCGUGGACGACGGUGCAUGAUCCGUAUGAUUGAGUGCUGCAGAUAUAAAUCCAGUUGGAAGUAUCAGCAAGCAGGAGCUUCGAAUGUUUUUGCAAUAGGCUGCUAUCCAUCUUGGUUUCUCAUCAUUUACAGAAGUUGAAGCUGCUCCUCCCACUGCUGAAUUGGAACCUAUACGAUCCAACUACAGCCAGGUUAUAUUGAUGGACAUGUUGGAAUCCACGAGAAAAGAUUCGAAAAGGACCAAAAAGGAAGAAAAACGAAAGUCUAGGGACUAAAGUGCAAUUAUCAAAAAUAUGACCCGAGGGAGAAAUCGAGGAUUUGAUUGAGCCAAGUGUCAAUUGGAGGCCACUAUUGAUGUAUGGAAUGAAAAAAAAAACGAAGGAACGAGAUCAAAAUUG